CUACGGGAUGCACCAGUGAGGAAUAUUGCACAAUGGGGGAAACCCUGAUGCAGCAACGCCGCGUGGAGGAUGACGCAUUUCGGUGUGUAAACUCCUUUUAUCAGAGAAGAAAAUGACGGUAUCUGAUGAAUAAGCUCCGGCUAACUCCGUGCCAGCAGCCGCGGUAAUACGGAGGGAGCAAGCGUUAUUCGGAAUCACUGGGCGUAAAGGACGCGUAGGCGGGUUUUUAAGUCAGGUGUGAAAUCCUAUGGCUCAACCAUAGAACUGCACUUGCAACUGGGGACCUAGAGUAUGGAAGGGGCAGGUGGAAUUAGUGGUGUAGGGGUAAAAUCCGUAGAUAUCACUAGGAAUACCGAAAGCGAAGGCGACCUGCUGGGACAUUACUGACGCUGAGGCGUGAAAGCGUGGGGAGCAAACAGGAUUAGAUACCCCUGUAGUC
rnacentral:rRNA from 1 species